ACAAACUUGGUCAUUUAGAGGAAGUACAAGUCGUAACAAGGUUUCCGUAGGUGAACCUGCGGAAGGAUCAUUAACGAAUCAUGUGUGAUGUAUGAUUGUGUGUGAUGUUGGUUGUAUGCAUGUGGAUGCAUGUAUGUAUGUAUGUGUGUAGAUAAUAUACACAUUUGUGCAUGUAUGUAUGUGUAGAUAAUAUACACAUUUGUGCAUGUAUGUAGAUAAUAUACACAUUUGUGCAUGCAUGUAUGUAUGUGUGUGUAGAUAAUAUACACAUUUGUGCAUCCACAUGCAUACAAUCACAUUAUACACCAUACAUUGGCCCUCCCUGAUUGGGAAGUGCAUAUUCAUGCUAUUAUUGUGUUGUUGUUGUUGUGGCAUGUGUAUAUGAUGUAUGCAUCAUACACAUGCAUGUGCAUAAACAGAUAACUUUUAACAAUGGAUCUCUAGGCUCUUGCAUCGAUGAAGAACGCAGC
rnacentral:misc_RNA from 1 species